UUUCCGUAGGUGAACCUGCGGAAGGGUCAUUAAAGAACGCCCCGUUUUUUGAAAUGGGUAAUUCUAAACCGUGUAUACAUACCUUUGUUGCUUUGGCAGGCCGCCCCUCAGGGCGUCGGCUCCGGCUGACUGCGCCUGCCAGAGGACCCAAACUCUUUUGUUUAGUGAUGUCUGAGUACUAUAUAAUAGUUAAAACUUUCAACAACGGAUCUCUUGGUUCUGGCAUCGAUGAAGAGCGCAGC
rnacentral:misc_RNA from 1 species